ACGUUAUCCACGUAUAAACCAUCGCGAACCGUACCCUUAACCUUUUGUUGUGAGCCAAGUUCGUGUGUUUUCGAACGUUAAGCAACCGUUGUGAUUGGUUGUGUUCGAAUUCACCUCAAUUGUUGUCUCUCCGGAGUCACUCUUGUGCUUGCUUACUUCAAAUUGUAUUAACAAUCACUAAUUAUUAACCAUUUUAACCAAUCUUUAUAACUUUUUGAACUAACUUUUUUCUUACUCUUCGGAGAAGAAAUUCAUUACGAAACAAAGAACAACUCUUAGCAACGGAUAUCUUGGUUCU
rnacentral:misc_RNA from 1 species